rnacentral:lncRNA from 1 species
CUUUCUUUAUCUUUUCUUCCUUUUUCUUUUUCUUUUUCUCUUUUCAAAGCCAAAAAAAGGAGAACAGGUCCUAUAUGCCAGCGCGCGCAUAUUCAGGCUAGCUGCUCCUUACAACUGUGAAAGACGAAUCUCUUUCUUGUUUUAUCCAUACUGAAUAGAGUCGCCAAUGCAACUAUUAUUUUGCUCACUGUUCAGAAACGACAUAUCGCCUAAUAUCAGUGUCGAUUAUGAAAUGGUAUUGAAACUUGUUUACACAAAUAUAUGACAAUGGCAAGCCCAUAUCAAGAGGAAAACAAAAACCAAGAAAAGAAAAAAUAUAAUAUUAAUGUAUCAUAAGUAGCUGAAGAAAUAGUAGAAAGUACAACAAAUCCAAUACAACCACUAUAAAAGAUAAUAACAAUCUGAACAAUAAAAAUCACAUGAAUAAUCAACUCCACAAGAAACAAAAACUACAGAUUGCCAUACUGGACAAUACAUGAUGCUACUCAGAACAGAAGAUGAAGUUUGCUAUGAAAAUCCACCAAGGAAAUAUAAGAUGGUAUAAUUAUAAGCAUUUUAAGGAGUAAUGGUUGACUGAGGUGGUUUAAUCUCCUUGGGAACAGUUGGUAUGGUAGGCAAUGUAGGCUUCGGAAGCUCAGGAAAGUGGGGCAAAGGUGGCAGUUCGGGUUUUGGCAAUUCUGGAACUCUGGGAAUUUCAGGUUUUGGCAAUUCAGGGAACUUGGGCACUUCAGGUUUUGGCAAUUCUGGCACUUUUGGGACUUCAGGCUUUGGCAGUUCAGGGAACUUAGGA